GUGUUGGGACCACUUAGACAUAGC
rnacentral:piRNA from 1 species